rnacentral:rRNA from 1 species
UAGUCCACGCCGUAAACGAUGCAUACUCGUUGUUGGCUCGUUAUAGAGUCAGUGACCAAGCGAAAGUAUUAAGUAUGCCACCUGGGGAGUACGUCGGCAACGAUGAAACUCAAAGGAAUUGACGGGGGCCCGCACAAGCGGAGGAACAUGUGGUUUAAUUCGAUGAUACGCGAGGAACCUUACCUGGGCUUAAAUGUAGAUUGCAUAAUUUAGAAAUAGAUUUUCCCUUCGGGGCUAUUUACAAGGUGCUGCAUGGUUGUCGUCAGCUCGUGCCGUGAGGUGUCGGGUUAAGUCCCAUAACGAGCGCAACCCCUAUCGUUAGUUGCUAGCAGGUAAUGCUGAGGACUCUAGCGAGACUGCCACCGUAAGGUGAGAGGAAGGUGGGGAUGACGUCAAAUCAGCACGGCCCUUAUGUCCAGGGCUACACACGUGUUACAAUGGCCGAUACAAAGGGCAGCUACCAGGUGACUGGAUGCUAAUCUCUAAAGUCGGUCCCAGUUCGGAUUGG